rnacentral:rRNA from 1 species
AGAGUUUGAUCAUGGCUCAGAUUGAACGCUGGCGGCAGGCCUAACACAUGCAAGUCGAGCGGAUGACAGGAGCUUGCUCCUGAAUUCAGCGGCGGACGGGUGAGUAAUGCCUAGGAAUCUGCCUGGUAGUGGGGGACAACGUUUCGAAAGGAACGCUAAUACCGCAUACGUCCUACGGGAGAAAGCAGGGGACCUUAGGGCCUUGCGCUAUCAGAUGAGCCUAGGUCGGAUUAGCUAGUUGGUGAGGUAAUGGCUCACCAAGGCGACGAUCCGUAACUGGUCUGAGAGGAUGAUCAGUCACACUGGAACUGAGACACGGUCCAGACUCCUACGGGAGGCAGCAGUGGGGAAUAUUGGACAAUGGGCGAAAGCCUGAUCCAGCCAUGCCGCGUGUGUGAAGAAGGUCUUCGGAUUGUAAAGCACUUUAAGUUGGGAGGAAGGGUUGUAGAUUAAUACUCUGCAAUUUUGACGUUACCGACAGAAUAAGCACCGGCUAACUCUGUGCCAGCAGCCGCGGUAAUACAGAGGGUGCAAGCGUUAAUCGGAAUUACUGGGCGUAAAGCGCGCGUAGGUGGUUCGUUAAGUUGGAUGUGAAAGCCCCGGGCUCAACCUGGGAACUGCAUUCAAAACUGACGAGCUAGAGUAUGGUAGAGGGUGGGUGGAAUUUCCUGUGUAGCGGUGAAAUGCGUAGAUAUAGGAAGGAACACCAGUGGCGAAGGCGACCACCUGGACUGAUACUGACACUGAGGUGCGAAAGCGUGGGGAGCAAACAGGAUUAGAUACCCUGGGUAGUCCACGCCGUAAACGAUGUCAACUAGCCGUUGGGAGCCUUGAGCUCUUAGUGGCGCAGCUAACGCAUUAAGUUGACCGCCUGGGGAGUACGGCCGCAAGGUUAAAGCUCAAAUGAAUUGAC